GACGAACGCUGGCGGCGUGCUUAACACAUGCAAGUCGAGCGGUAAGGCCCUUUCGGGGUACGACGAGCGGCGAACGGGUAGGAGUAACAACGUGGGUGGACCUCGCCCUCCAGCUCUGGGAGUAAAGCCUCGGGAAACCGGGGUACCGUAAUAACUGGAGUAUGACUCCAUGACGCAUGUUGUUGGGGUGGGAAAGACCUU
rnacentral:rRNA from 1 species